rnacentral:rRNA from 1 species
AGUGAACGCUGGCGGUAGGCCUAACACAUGCCAGUCGAACGGCAGCACAGUAAGAGCUUGCUCUUACGGGUGGCGAGUGGCGGACGGGUGAGGAAUACAUCGGAAUCUACUUUUUCGUGGGGGAUAACGUAGGGAAACUUACGCUAAUACCGCAUACGACCUACGGGUUAAAGCAGGGGAUCUUCGGACCUUGCGCGAUUGAAUGAGCCGAUGUCGGAUUAGCUAGUUGGCGGGGUAAAGGCCCACCAAGGCGACGAUCCGUAGCUGGUCUGAGAGGAUGAUCAGCCACACUGGAACUGAGACACGGUCCAGACUCCUACGGGAGGCAGCAGUGGGGAAUAUUGGACAAUGGGCGCAAGCCUGAUCCAGCCAUACCGCGUGGGUGAAGAAGGCCUUCGGGUUGUAAAGCCCUUUUGUUGGGAAAGAAAAGCAGCAGGUUAAUACCCCGCUGUUCUGACGGUACCCAAAGAAUAAGCACCGGCUAACUUCGUG